rnacentral:siRNA from 1 species
UUGAUGUUUCAGAAAUUGCUGC